UUCACUGACUGGUAAAAAAAACCAGAAAUACUGAUUUCCUUUUACCGCAUACCGAGCUCCACAACACGGGUUGUGGGUUUUAUCUGUUUGUUUCCCCCCUCAUGCAGAGAUGGCUCCAGGCUGAAGCUGUGGCAGAAGUGCACGCUGCUCUUCCCCUGUGAAAUGAGGUGCUGACCUCAAAGUCUGGGGUGAGGUGAUCUACAGUGCCUCCUCCUCAUGAAUUAUCCCCAAUCUAGACAAGAACUUUUGCCUUCCAGUGAUGCAUCUGUUUCUCUUUCCCAAGCUGACAGCGCUGCUGAUCAAGUGUGUUGUUUGGUGCCACAGGAACGCAGUUUAAGAGAAAAUGAGGUGCUCAGAGGUGGGACACCAGCAGGAAGGGCUGGAAGGAGUGAACAGCUCAGCACAGAUCACUGAAAGGGGACAUGGUGGCUGUGGAGCUGUUUUUUUACAGAAACUUCAGCAUUUUGUUUUGUGAAACUAUCAUCAUCCUGAUGGCUUCUCAGCUGUGCAAGACUUUGACCUGUGGACCAAUCCUGUGUUUGCAGAAAACACAACUGCAAAAUUAUCUACUCCUUUGCCACUUGUGAAGAGGUUUCUCACAUUACAUUGACAUGAAGAAGCUGAAGGCUGCUUUGGAUUAUCUUCUGAAGGACUGAUGUUGUGGCCUUAAUUCAAAUGCAUCCUUUGCACUUUCAAAACAGAAAUUUCUAUAAGUUCUGCUUUCAAAUGUUCUUUUUGCCCUGAUAAUUAUAAUUCUUAGCUCAGUUCUUUUUUAGCCUGGAACAAAACCAAAGAAAGAAAUAGUUAAGUAC
rnacentral:lncRNA from 1 species